rnacentral:lncRNA from 1 species
AUGUACCUAUGAUGCUGUGGUUGGUGCCUCACGGACCUGUUUCCUUGGACAGAUGAGUAGAUGAAAUUUGAUUAUUGACCUAAGAGUAGCCACCAGUUCAAAGGGCAGGUCCUAUGGAAACAGCACAAGGCCAAAAACCAGGCAAUAAGCAAAAGAUGAUGUAAAGAGGUUAAAUAGAGUCCUUAGCCACUUGCCCACAAUGGGUCUUGUAGCCACGUGUUAGACCUAAGCCGGGGGUGAGAAGGGUGCGAGUGAGGAGGGAAAGAAGUUGAACUGAAUGCCUUCAAACUUAAAUUUGAAAAUACUAGGUCUUUAAUAUUUAAACUGAAUUUA